rnacentral:lncRNA from 10 species
UGUUAUAAGAUUCCAGGUCAACUUAAAAUAAGAAAUAAAAGUGAAUAUGUCACUUAAACUAGAAAGAAAUACAGCUGUGACCCCCAGACAAGGUCUUAUAUUCAAGACAGAAAAAUGUUAUUUUUAUUUACCUUCAUCCAGACCCUUUUCCAUGCUAUUUUUAGCAUAAAUAACAAUAAAAUCUUUAUUAUAAGCCUCCCCUGAGGCUCCAAAUAGGGAUAAAUAUAACUUACUUUGAACACACACACACAACUUUAUUUCUUCCCUGGCAUUUAUGAAAAUAGCACAAAAUAUCAUUUAAUUCUAAAAGCACAAAUAUUUUGAAACUACAUGGCCUGCUGCCUAAGUUGAGACAGUGAACAAAAUCCUCAGACUCUCAAAAUAUCUACAAAUUUUCACACACAGUAUUUAAGGGAAGCAUUUAGUUUCCUAUCCUUG